AUCUUCAGCCACACCACCCUGAACAUGCGUGAUCUCAUCUGAUCUCUGAAGCUAAGCAGGGUUGGGCCUUGUUAGUACUUGGAUGGGAGAACAGUGGUCCCCAAACAGG
rnacentral:rRNA from 1 species